UUUCUGGCCGCAUGGUAUUGUUGCAGUUUUACGUGGUACGGCCUCAAAACCGAAAGCACCAGUUUUCUUGAAAUAAUAGGUGGUGGGGUCAAAUCCGGAAUAUUUUGAAAUUUAACAAUUUGGAUCGUCCAGUACGAAUGUGGAUUUUCCUCGAGACACCAAAACUCCACGGAAUUUUCCCUCAAACAUCACUUUAAAACUUCGUGAUUUCUUCUAGAGCUGGUUUUCGAUGCGUCGCGUUGCGUGCGGUUAGCAAUGAGCCACCCCAACAGGUUGCCACAAAAAAACGAUAUUUUCCUUGAAUCGACUCCGAUGAAUGGGAUGGUUAAUGGGCCGGAAUAGGCUGAGUAAAGCGCCGUACGCAUUACCUAGUUGAAUAAAAUGCAUUAAACUGAAGGAUAGUGUUUGCUGUCUGUCUCCAAAAUUAAAGUGGACUUCGUCUAUCUCCAAUACCCACAAAAAAGCGAAAUGUUCGUCACGCUCGAUAGCCUCAAUUGCAAGGGGAUGAUGAUUACGCACUGGCGACGCUAACGACCAGCUUCAAUUCUUU